rnacentral:rRNA from 1 species
UACGAAGGGGGCUAGCGUUGCUCGGAAUCACUGGGCGUAAAGCGCACGUAGGCGGAUUGCUAAGUCAGGGGUGAAAUCCUGGAGCUCAACUCCAGAACUGCCUUUGAUACUGGCAAUCUCGAGUCCGGGAGAGGUGAGUGGAACUGCGAGUGUAGAGGUGAAAUUCGUAGAUAUUCGCAAGAACACCAGUGGCGAAGGCGGCUCACUGGACCGGAACUGACGCUGAGGCGCGAAAGCGUGGGGAGCAAACAGG